CCUACGGGUGGCAGCAGUGGGGAAUAUUGGACAAUGGGCGAAAGCCUGAUCCAGCCAUGCCGCGUGUGUGAAGAAGGCCUUCGGGUUGUAAAGCACUUUCAGUGGGGAAGAAAGCCUUGGGGCUAAUACCCUCGAGGAAGGACAUCACCCACAGAAGAAGCACCGGCUAACUCCGUGCCAGCAGCCGCGGUAAUACGGAGGGUGCGAGCGUUAAUCGGAAUUACUGGGCGUAAAGCGCGCGUAGGCGGUCUGAUAAGCAGGUUGUGAAAGCCCCGGGCUCAACCUGGGAACGGCAUCCGGAACUGUCAGGCUAGAGUGCAGGAGAGGAAGGUAGAAUUCCCGGUGUAGCGGUGAAAUGCGUAGAGAUCGGGAGGAAUACCAGUGGCGAAGGCGGCCUUCUGGACUGACACUGACGCUGAGGUGCGAAAGCGUGGGUAGCAAACAGGAUUAGAUACCCGAGUAGUC
rnacentral:rRNA from 1 species